GAUGAACGCUAGCGAUAGGCCUAACACAUGCAAGUCGAGGGGCAUCACAUGAAGUAGCAAUACGGAUGGUGGCGACCGGCGCACGGGUGAGUAACACGUAUGCAACCUGCCUUCAACAAGGGGAUAACCCGUUGAAAGACGGACUAAUACCCUAUAACACAGGGGUCCCGCAUGGGAAUAUUUGUUAAAGGACAACCGGUUGAAGAUGGGCAUGCGUUCCAUUAGCUAGUUGGCGGGGUAACGGCCCACCAAGGCAACGAUGGAUAGGGGAACUGAGAGGUUUAUCCCCCACACUGGUACUGAGACACGGACCAGACUCCUACGGGAGGCAGCAGUGAGGAAUAUUGGUCAAUGGACGCAAGUCUGAACCAGCCACGUCGCGUGAAGGAAGACGGCCCUACGGGUUGUAAACUUCUUUUAUACGGGAAUAAAGUGCCCCACGCGUGGGGUUUUGCAUGUACCGUAUGAAUAAGGAUCGGCUAACUCCGUGCCAGCAGCCGCGGUAAA
rnacentral:rRNA from 1 species